rnacentral:rRNA from 1 species
GAUGAACGCUGGCGGCGUGCCUAAUACAUGCAAGUCGAGCGAACAGACGAGGAGCUUGCUCCUCUGACGUUAGCGGCGGACGGGUGAGUAACACGUGGAUAACCUACCUAUAAGACUGGGAUAACUUCGGGAAACCGGAGAUAAUACCGGAUAAUAUAUUGAACCGCAUGGUUCAAUAGUGAAAGACGGUUUUGCUGUCACUUAUAGAUGGAUCCGCGCCGCAUUAGCUAGUUGGUAAGGUAACGGCUUACCAAGGCAACGAUGCGUAGCCGACCUGAGAGGGUGAUCGGCCACACUUGAACUGAGACCCGGUCCAGACUCCGACGGGAGGCAGCAGCAGGGAAUCUUCCGCAAUGGGCGAAAGCCUGACGGAGCAACUCCGCGUGAGUGAUGAAGGUUUUCGGAUCGUAUGACCCUGUUAUUAGGGAAGAACAAAUGUGUAAGUAACUAUGCACGUCUUGACGGUACCUAAUCAGAAAGCAACGGCUAACUACGUG